rnacentral:rRNA from 1 species
AGAGUUUGAUCCUGGCUCAGGACGAACGCUGGCGGUGUGCUUCACACAUGCAAGUCGAACGGAGUAGCAAUACUCAGUGGCGGACGGGUGAGUAACACGUGGGAAUCUACCAUUAGGUGGGGAAUAACAGGCCGAAAGGACUGCUAAUGCCGCAUAUGUAGGCAUCUCGACAGAGAUGUUUAUGAAAGGAGUAAUCCGCCUUUUGAUGAGCCCGCGUCCGAUUAGCUAGUUGGUAGGGUAAAAGCCUACCAAGGCGACGAUCGGUAGGUGGUCUGAGAGGAUGAUCACCCACAAUGGGACUGAGACACGGCCCAUACUCCUACGGGAGGCAGCAGUGGGGAAUUUUACGCAAUGGGGGAAACCCUGACGUAGCGACACCGCGUGAGCGAAGAAGCCCUUUGGGGUGUAAAGCUCUGUCAACAGGAACGAAACAAAUGACGGUACCUGUGGAGGAAGCAUCGGCUAACUACGUGCCAGCAGCCGCGGUAAGACGUAGGAUGCAAGCGUUGUCCGGAUUUAUUGGGCGUAAAGAGUUCGUAGGCGGUUUGUUAAGUCUGAUGUUAAAGACCGGGGCUCAACCUCGGAAAUGCAUCCAAAACUGGCGAGCUAGAGUACGGUAGAGGGUGGUGGAAUUUCCUGUGUAGCGGUGAAAUGCGUAGA